GAUGAACGCUAGCGGCAGGCUUAAUACAUGCAAGUCGAGGGGUCAGCAAUGACACCGGCGGACGGGUGCGUAACGCGUAUGCAACCUACCUACAUCAGGGGGAUAGCCCUAGGAAACUGGGAUUAACACCGCAUAAUAGUAUUGAUGGCAUCAUUGAUAUUUGAAAUAUUUAUAGGAUGUAGAUGGGCAUGCGUAAGAUUAGUUAGUUGGUAAGGUAAGGGCUUACCAAGGCUACGAUCUUUAGGGGCUCUGAGAGGAUUAUACCUCACAGUGGCACUGAGAUACGGGCCAGACUCCUACGGGAGGCAGCAGUAGGGAAAAUUGGGAAAUGGAGGAAACUCUGACCCAGCCAUGCCGCGUGCAGGAAGACGGCCCUCUGGGUUGUAAACUGCUUUUGAAUGGGAAGAAUGUGAUGUUUGCGAGCAUUAAUGACGGUACCAUUAGAAUAAGCCACGGCUAACUACGUGCCAGCCGCCGCAGUAAAAC
rnacentral:rRNA from 1 species